UAGGGAAUCUUCCACAAUGGGCGAAAGCCUGAUGGAGCAACGCCGCGUGUGUGAUGAAGGGUUUCGGCUCGUAAAACACUGUUGUAAGAGAAGAAUGAUAUUGAGAGUAACUGUUCAAUGUGUGACGGUAUCUUACCAGAAAGGAACGGCUAAAUACGUGCCUG
rnacentral:rRNA from 1 species